ACUCAAAGGAAUUGACGGGGACCCGCACAAGCAGCGGAGCAUGUGGUUUAAUUCGAAGCAACGCGAAGAACCUUACCAAGGCUUGACAUCCCCUUGACCAGUGCAGAGAUGUACUCUCUUCUUCGGAAGCAAGGGAGACAGGUGGUGCAUGGUUGUCGUCAGCUCGUGUCGUGAGAUGUUGGGUUAAGUCCCGCAACGAGCGCAACCCUUAUCCUUAGUUGCCAGCAUAUAAGGUGGGCACUCUAAGGAGACUGCCGGUGAUAAACCGGAGGAAGGUGGGGAUGACGUCAAAUCAUCAUGCCCCUUAUGUCUUGGGCUACACACGUGCUACAAUGGUCGGUACAACGGGGAGCGAAGGAGUGAUCCGGAGCAAAUCCCAAUAAACCGAUCCCAGUUCGGAUUGCAGGCUGCAACUCGCCUGCAUGAAGUCGGAGUUGCUAGUAAUCGCGAAUCAGCACGUCGCGGUGAAUGCGUUCCCGGGUCUUGUACACACCGCCCGU
rnacentral:rRNA from 1 species